rnacentral:rRNA from 1 species
UACGGGGGGAACGAGUGUUAUUCAUCAUAACUGGGUGUAAAGUGCAUGAAGGUGGUUUUUGUUGUUUAAAUAUUAAAAAAUAUUUAAAGGCGCAAUUACUUGAAUAAAAUGGAAAUUUGUGGAAUUUAAUUUAAAGGGGUGAAAUGCGGUAUAAAUUAAAGACCCUCAAUAGGCGAAGGCAACAAAUUAUAUUUUAUUGACAUUGUAAUGCAAAAGCAUAGGGAGCAAACAGG